rnacentral:rRNA from 1 species
AAGUAGGUCCCAAGGGUUGGUCUGUUCGCCCAUUAAAGCGGUACGUGAGCUGGGUUUAGAACGUCGUAAGACAGUAAGUGACCGUUGCUGUCUAUAAAUUUGGCUAUAUGCUGGGAAAUCCGAGAAUCACCUCCUACUUGACAAAAGAUGUUGAUAGAGAUAAAAUAUCUCUAUGGCAAGUAAAAACGGAGGGUGUGCGGAUAAUCAGCAGGCAAGCAGGAAAAAAAUAUCAGAUGAAUAUUUUACUGGCUUCGUUGAUGGAGAAGGCUGUUUCUAUGUAGGUUUCAGCCGAAGAAAAGAUUUACCUUUAGGUUGGCAGGUUAUUACAGAGUUCCAUCUCAGUCAGAACCCACAGGGAAAACUAAUUUUAGAACAAUUUCAAAGAAGAUUAGGAUGUGGUUACCUUAAACCUAAUCACCCUAAAAGCAAAAGAGAUAAAACCUGGGUUUUGAUUGUGAAAGACAGAAAAGACCUAAAGGAAAGGUUGAUACCUUUCUUUCAGAAACAUCCUCUUCAUUCAGGGAAAAGAAAAGAUUUUAUGCUCUUUGUUAAAGUACUUCAGUUGAUUGAAAAAGGAAGUCACCUUAAACCUGAAGGUUUUAGGAAGAUAGCCAAUUUGGUCUUCCAAUUACCACGAAGUCGGAAACGUUAUUUGAAAGAAGAGAUAUUUUUCUCCUGUGGCCUCAGAGACUAUACGCCAAAUACCUCGAAAAGGUAAAGAUAUAGUCCGAUCUCACGGGCGACUGUGAGAGUUUCGCAGAAAUGCGAAGUCACCUCUUCUUGAAUCUAGAAGGGGUUAUAAGUCUCUGAUAGGAGAUGAAGUAACAGAAUGUCGGUCUCUAUCUGCUGUGGGCGUUGGAUAUUUGAAGGGGAGCUAUCCCUAGUACGAGAGGAUUGGGAUGGACGAACCUCUGGUGUUCCAGCUGUUCCGCCAGGAGCAAUCGCUGGGUAGCUAUGUUCGGAAAGGAUAAGCGCUGAAAGCAUCUAAGCGCGAAGCCUCCCCCAAGAUAAGAUAUCCCUCUGCCGCAAGGUGGACUAAAGAUUCCAGGAAGACGACCUGGUUGAUAGGCCAGAUGUGUAAGUCCAGUAAUGGAUUCAGCUAACUGGUACUAAUCAAUCGUGUGGCUUGACCAUAGAU